rnacentral:rRNA from 1 species
UUCUCUGCAUCGAUGAAGAACGCAGCGAAAUGCGAUUUUAAGUAAUGUGAAUUGCAGAAUUCAGUUGAAUCAUCUAAUCUUUGAACGCACCUUGCGCUCCUUGGUAUGCCGAGGAGCAUGCCUGUUUGAGCGUCAUGA